rnacentral:snRNA from 11 species
ACUUUUACAUGGCUAGGAGGUACCAUAAUCAUAUAAGUGGUUUUCCCAAAGCUAGACUUAUCUAUUGCAGUCCCAAUGUGUUGACCAUUGUGAUUUCCCAAAUGUAGAAAACCAAACUGCAUAAUUUGUGGUACUGGCAAGAUAGUUCUUGAUCUUUCCUC